AACGGAGGGCGCAAGCGUUGCUCGGAAUUACUGGGCGUAAAGCGCGUGCAGGCGGUCGAGUAAGUCGGUUGUGAAAUCCCCAGGCUCAACCUGGGAACCGCAUCCGAAACUGCUCGGCUAGAGUCCCGGAGAGGGAGGCGGAACUCCCAGUGUAGGGGUGAAAUCCGUAGAUAUUGGGAAGAACACCGGCGGCGAAAGCGGCCUCCUGGACGGUGACUGACGCUGAGACGCGACAGCGUGGGGAGCAAACAGG
rnacentral:rRNA from 1 species